UACAGAGGUCCCAAGCAUUGUUCGGAUUCACUGGGCGUAAAGGGUGCGUAGGCGGUCGGGUAAGUCUGAUGUGAAAUCCCCAGGCUUAACCUGGGAACUGCAUUCGAGACUGCAUUGCUAGAGUAUGGGAGAGGGAAGUGGAAUUUCCGGUGUAGCGGUGAAAUGCGUAGAUAUCGGAAGGAACAUCAGUGGCGAAAGCGACUUCCUGGACCAAUACUGACGCUCAUGUGCGAAAGCGUGGGGAGCAAACAGG
rnacentral:rRNA from 1 species